AAGACUACAGAGGGUGAAAACAUGAACUUUUGGAGCCAGACACACCAGCAAUAAACAUUUGGUUGAGAUAUCAUGAAGUAGAUGUAAAGCAACCAGUAACACAGAAUGCCGUGUGGCUGCCAGGGUCUUGGUGCUCUGGCUGGGUGUCAGGCCU